CAGCUACACUAAUGGACCGCCUCCUUCCCUUUCCCCUGGGGGCCCUAUCCGGGUGAGUUCCGGAGUUUGUGACUCCGAAGUCCCCCCCAAAACCACGAGCGACGUCCCCUGUCUGUCACCGAGGCCCGUAUCUCCAUCCCGCACCGCGGCCGCCGCAACCCACGCUAGCGGAGCAGGCGGGGCCCCGUAUCCACCGGCGCGUGCCCGGGUGCGCGUCCGACCCGCCGAGCUCGCGCCCCGCUUCACCUCCCAGCUCCCGUCCCAGCCGCACGCGCCGCGCCGCCGGCUUCCCCUCAUCUUCCAGCCGAGCGGCCUCCAGACCCCGCACCGUUGGAGCGACCCGGGCGAAGCCCGAGGGGAAACCGGGGGAGGACGGGGCGGUCCUGUGCGCCCGGGUAGGCGGAGUGGCAGAAUCACCUGAGACCGCCAGACAGCUCACUGCGUUCCCACUCCCGCUCGAGCUCCGCACCCGGACCGGUGGAUCAGGCCCGGGAACCCGCGCCACACCGGGGAGGACCGGCCACAGCGAGCUAGUGAACAUGGCCACACCGUUCCUACCCUCGGGGGCCACCACAGGCGACAGCGGUGGGGAACUGAGCUCCGGGGACGACUCUGGUGAUAUGGAAUCCUUCCAGACCCCCGAGGCCGAGGGGACCCGGAGUUUGGCCGAGCUGUUUGAGAAGGCUGCCGCACACGUCCAAGGCCUGGUUCAGGUAGCCAGCCGGGAGCAGCUCCUGUACCUGUAUGCCAGGUUCAAGCAGGUCAAAGUUGGAAAUUGCAAUACUCCUAAACCAAAUUUCUUUGAUUUUGAAGGAAAGCAAAAAUGGGAGGCAUGGAAAGCCCUCGGUGACUCAAGCCCUAGCCAAGCAAUGCAGGAAUAUAUCGCGGCAGUUAAAAAACUAGAUCCAGGAUGGAAUCCUCAGGUAUCAGAGAAGAAGGGAAAAGAAGGCAGUAGUGGUUUCGGUGGUCCGGUUGUUAGUUCUCUAUAUCAUGAAGAAACAAUCAGGGCAGAGCUCUGCUCCACUGGGCAUGUGACCGAGGACAUAAGGAACUGGUGAAAGUCUUGCUACAGUAUGAAGCUGGCAUUAAUUGUCAGGACAACGAAGGUCAGACAGCUCUUCAUUAUGCCGCUGCCUGCGAGUUUUUGGACAUCGUGGAACUGCUGCUCCAGUCUGGCGCUGACCCCACCCUCCGAGACCAAGACGGCUGCUUGCCAGAAGAGGUGACGGGCUGCAAAGCGGUCUCUCUGCUGCUGCAGCGGCACAGAGCUAGCAAGGCUUGAUCCAAAGCCUGAAGAAGCACAGUUUGGCAGACUAGGACUUCCGGGAUAAAAGAAACUGCAAAAAUAAUACUUCUUUUACCGCCCAUCUUUGGUAUGCAUUGGCUAAUAAAAUCAGUUCGAGGAACUGGGAUUUCGACGUCUCAGCAACUCAUUCUCCAUGCAUACAUUGUGGGGGAGUCUGGGGUUGGUGAUGAACAUGUGUACUGUGCAUAAUAUAAUCCAAUUCUGCCUAGCAUGCUUUGAAAUUUAUCACUGCUGUGGAAGGUGGGGAGAGGAGCAGACAGAUCAUAUUUCACAAUAUUAAACAUGGCUCCCCUCUCCUCUGUGCCCCUCUCUCUCUCUCUCUCUCUCUCUCUCUCUCUCUCUCUCUCUCUCUCUCUCUCUCUCUCUCUUUCUCAAAAUACAGAAGCAAAGUGUGCCCAUCAGCACUACAGUGACAAUUAGGAAAGUUCUGUGAAGUCCCAGCAUAGUAGAAAGCAAAUGACCCAGUAGCAUUUCACAGCUAAUCUGUAUAGGUAGGUAAGAUGGCUGUUCCCUAAAGACAUGCUUGAAAAUGUAAGGAGAAAGAGGGUGUUAAAGCAAGUAGCAGAGAUGAUGGCCUAGUCGGUCAUCAAUGGGAGGAGAGGCCCUUGGUCCUGUGAAGGUUCUAUGCCCCAGUAUAGGGAAAUGCCAGGACCAAGAAUGGAAGUGGGUGGGUUGGGGAACAGGGGGAGGGGGAAGGGGAUAGGGGAUUUUCGGAGGGGAAACUAGGAAAGGUUUUGAAAUGUAAAUAAAGAAAAUAAUGGGCAGUGGUGGUGCAUGCCUUUAAUCCCAGCACUUGGGAGGCAGAGGCAGGUGGAUUUCUGAGUUCAAGGCCAGCCUGGUCUACAGAGUGAGUUCCAGGACAGCCAGGGCUACACAGAGAAACCCUGUCUCAAAAAAAAACAAAAAAGAAGAAAAGAAAAGAGAAAAGAAAAAUGAAAGAAGAAAUUAGUCGCAGUGCAAACGUAGCCAUUAAGAGCUAGUUCCCUAACAGGUGUGACUGUUAAACUGGGAAGUACCUUACAUAGUGCAGCCCACUGCUUACAGUUUUUGUUAGCUUGUGCUAGCCUAUCCUGAGCAAACCCCUCCACAACAUAAGGCAUAUGAAUACUGUUUGUUUUGUGAUUUUUUUGUAGCCUACCUUCGUUCAACCUGAGAUGCAAAAACAAACCAUUCACCAAGACUAAUCAUUUUUAAAUCAUUGCUUAAGGACCUACCUGUGGAAAUACACACAUUGGUGCAUACUGAAA